AAUGAUUUUCUAUGCUCUGUGUAGAGCAUUACAGGACCAUUUGCAUACAUGAUGGAUUUUUCUUUUCUGAGAAACAAUAUCAUCCUGGUGUUGCCAGUGCUAAAGCUGAGAAUGCCAAGACUUGGAGAUAUCAAGUGAUCUGUACAAGAAGUGUUCAUUCUUCAUGAUAUGCUGCUUUGUGGAUGAUGCACCCAUUGACUGUGCCAACUUCAUCUAAACCUCUCUGAAGAAAACUUAAUGCUAAGCUGAAUCCAUGUUUAGAACUCAGGUGAAUGGUGAAAUUAAGGCAGGAUGACACCUGGUAAUAUCUUAGUGUGAUUCAAGCAAGAGAAAAGAUUAACAGUAAUGAGUAUCAUUUGAGCUAUUCAUAAAGGUUUGCCAGAGAGAAAGAUAAACAUUUUCCUUUAUAACCAUAGGGAGGUAUAUAAAUUUUCUAAAAAUAAAUUAUGUGUUCAAAUUACUUUUCUUUUUAGCACUACUGUAUUUUAUGAUGACAGAUUCAUAGCAGAUAUGGAUAUUAGUGAAUGAUCAUGUCUAGUAAGGACAGGCAGUAUUCUGUGUAGUAAAAAUAAUACCUUGUAUCUAUCUAUUGUUUCAUAAUGUGUGGACCAAUUUCACAGUCAUUAUCUUAUUUGCUCCUCAGGACAUCCCUGAGAGAAAAGAAAAAAAAUUUUACAGGGUGUGUACUUCAUAAGUUUUCUUUCUCUACCAGAUUAGCAUAAACAUCUUUUCCAUACCUGUCUCAUAUGCUUUAAGUUUUUAUUUCAUAUUUUUGUAAGUUAUAAUC